GACGAACGCUGGCGGCGUGCUUGACACAUGCAAGUCGAACGGAAAGGCCCUGCUUUUGUGGGGUGCUCGAGUGGCGAACGGGUGAGUAACACGUGAGUAACCUGCCCUUGACUUUGGGAUAACUUCAGGAAACUGGGGCUAAUACCGGAUAGGAGCUCCUGCUGCAUGGUGGGGGUUGGAAAGUUUCGGCGGUUGGGGAUGGACUCGCGGCUUAUCAGCUUGUUGGUGGGGUAGUGGCUUACCAAGGCUUUGACGGGUAGCCGGCCUGAGAGGGUGACCGGCCACAUUGGGACUGAGAUACGGCCCAGACUCCUACGGGAGGCAGCAGUGGGGAAUAUUGCACAAUGGGCGGAAGCCUGAUGCAGAAACGCCGCGUGCGGGAUGACGGCCUUCGGGUUGUAAACCGCUUUCGCCUGUGACGAAGCGUGAGUGACGGUAAUGGGUAAAGAAGCACCGGCUAACUACGU
rnacentral:rRNA from 1 species